UACAGAGGGGGCAAGCGUUGUUCGGAAUUACUGGGCGUAAAGGGCGCGUAGGCGGCCUGUUAAGUCGAACGUGAAAUCCCUGGGCUCAACCCAGGAACUGCGUCCGAUACUGGCAGGCUUGAAUUCGGGAGAGGGAUGUGGAAUUCCAGGUGUAGCGGUGAAAUGCGUAGAGAUCCGGAGGAACACCAGUGGCGAAGGCGACACGCUGGGCCAUACCUGACGCUAAAGCGCGACAGCAUGGGGAGCAAACGGG
rnacentral:rRNA from 1 species